GACGAACGCUGGCGGCGUGCCUAAUACAUGCAAGUCGAACGAGUGGCGGACGGGUGAGUAACACGUGGGUAACCUACCCACAGAGGGGGAUAACUACUGGAAACGGUGGCUAAUACCGCAUACUAUCGGAUGAACCCAUACGGGAUUAGCGAGUAGGUGGGGUAAAGGCUCACCUAGGCGACGAUCUCUAGCUGGUCUGAGAGGAUGAUCAGCCACAUUGGGACUGAGAUACGGCCCAGACUCCUACGGGAGGCAGCAGUGGGGGAUAUUGCACAAUGGGCGAAAGCCUGAUGCAGCGACGCCGCGUGGGGGAUGAAGGCUUUCGGGUUGUAAACCUCUUUCGCUAUCGAACGGGUAGGUGGAGAAGAAGCGCCGGCUAACUACGUGCCAGCAGCCGCGGUAAUAC
rnacentral:rRNA from 1 species